UACGUAGGGAGCAAGCGUUGUCCGGAUUUAUUGGGCGUAAAGAGCGCGUAGGCGGCUUGGUAAGCCGGAUGUGAAACCUCCAAGCUCAACUUGGAGCGGCCAUUCGGAACUGCCAUGGCUAGAGUCUGGUAGGGGAACACGGAAUUCCUGGUGUGAGCGGUGAAAUGCGCAGAUAUCAGGAGGAACACCUAUUGCGAAGGCAGCUCGCUGGGACGUAACUGACGCUGAGACGCGAAAGCGUGGGGAGCAAACAGG
rnacentral:rRNA from 1 species